GGAACUGAAAGAUGUGUUGUUCAUAGAGAUAUCAAGCCCUCCAACAUUCUUCUUUCUUCCAAGAAAACACCCAAGUUGUGUGAUUUUGGAUUAGCAACUUAGACAUCCGCACCUUCAAUUCCAUUCCUUUGCAAAACUGUUAAAGGAGCAUUUGGGUACUUGGCACCCGAGUAUUUCCAACAUGGAAAAGUGCAUGAUAA